CCCCUAUUUAAACUCACAAAGCUGCUUAAAGUUGUCAUCAUCGUUUCCCUCUUCCCUUGAUACUCGUCUUCUUUAACUCGGCGGUGAUAGCAGCUAUACCCUAGCCAAUCGUGCUUCGUCUUCGGAGGGAUAAAAUGUGGAGUUCAAUUCUUCUGAGUGCUGAACUGAUCCCACUUGACAAGUCAUUAGCGGCAACAUUUGACGCUGAAGCUCUGUCCCUUCCUGGUUUGUGUUCAAUCUUCUCUGGAUUUGCCAUCGUUCUUGCAGUUUGAUUAUGUUCCAUCCAUUCAGCAACUUUCUCGUCCAGUGGCUUUGUCUGUUUAUCAUCUUUGCGUAAAAAGUUGUAAAAUGGCAGAGUCUGUACAAACUCAAAUAGGGAUGUAUGUCACUAGACAUCUAUGAAUUGUUGUUUUGUUUUACAGAAGUUUUUAUGCAGAAUGGAAUACAAACCUUCGAGUGAAA